AUACGGAAGGUCCGGGCGUUAUCCGGAUUUAUUGGGUUUAAAGGGAGCGCAGGCGGAGAUGCAAGCGUGACGUCAAAUUUCGGGGCUCAACCCCGUCUCGCGUCGCGAACUGCGUCCCUUGGUUGCGGGAAGGGGAGGCGGAACUCGUGGUGUAGCGGUGAAAUGCAUAGAUAUCACGAAGAACUCCGAUCGCGAAGGCAGCCUUCCGGCCCGUCAACGACGCUCAUGCUCGAAGGUGCGGGUAUCAAACAGGAUUAGAUACCCUGGUAGUCCGCACAGUAAACGAUGGACACCCACGGUUUGGCCUGUAUGGCUGAGCCGCCAAGCGAAAGCGUUAAGUGUCCCACCUGGGGAGUACGCCGGCAACGGUGAAACUCAAAGGAAUUGACGGGG
rnacentral:rRNA from 1 species